rnacentral:rRNA from 1 species
UACGUAGGGGGCAAGCGUUGUCCGGAAUCAUUGGGCGUAAAGAGCGUGUAGGCGGUCCGAUAAGUCGGUUGUGAAAGUCAAGGGCUCAACCCUUGAAUGCCGACCGAUACUGUCGGGCUAGAGUCCGGAAGAGGUGAGUGGAAUUCCUGGUGUAGCGGUGAAAUGCGCAGAUAUCAGGAGGAACACCAAUGGCGAAGGCAGCUCACUGGGACGGUACUGACGCUGAGACGCGAAAGCGUGGGGAGCGAACAGG